rnacentral:rRNA from 1 species
GUCCACGCUGUAACGAUGGGCACUAGGUGUUCGGGUAUUGACCCCUCGAGUGCCGCAGCUAACGCAUUAAGUGCCCCGCCUGGGAGGUACGGUCGCAAGAUUAAACUACAAGGAAUUGACGGGGCCCGGCACAAGCGGUGGAGCAUGUGGUUCAAUUCGACGCAACGCGAAGAACCUUACCUGGGCUAGACAACGGUGGACCGUCCUAGAAAUAGGAUCUUCCCUUCGGGGACCACCGGUUCAGGUGCUGCAUGGCUGUCGU